AGAAAUCCCUUUGUUUAGGAGAUGGACAAGUCCGGGAGCUACGAAAGGGAGGCUGAGAGCUGGAGAAAGACAAUAGUUUCUUCAUCAAUUGUCAUCCUCACUACGACAUGGGAGGAAUGAGUCAGGAGACUUGAGACUCAGUGGUCUUUUACUCUUCUGCUGGUCAGAAAUGGUGGGUUGCUUGUUUGGAUCUUGAAAUUAACAUCUCUGCCAAGGAUAAACACACAGUGAAUGAAAGAAAAUGGAGAGCAGCUGGCAGUGACUCAACAGAGUCCCCCACCCUAUCCCUUCAGAGAAUAUUUUCUUAGGAUUUGUAACUUGGUUCUCAGUAACGUUAAGUUCCAUUUAAGAUGGACGUAGAAAUACGUAGUAUGUAUUUUUGAAGUCAAAGCAAACACUGAAGAACAAAUUGUGAAAUUUCAUUUGGCAGCAGGAGGUUGCAUCAUUGGCUUUCCUUUCAGCCUCAGGAGGUUUCAUAACAUCUGAAGACAUCAUCAUGAGUGUGAGAAAGCUGACAUUUAAGAGUCUAAGAAUGGGAAAAAUUAUUAACCAUUAAGUGUCAAGGAUGUGAAGUGUUUGAACCAGUAUUCAUAGGUUGCUUAAAGAAGUCAUGAUUGCUCACAAAUAGGAAAUAAAACAUGUUAUGCAAGGAGGAAUAUGUAUUCUUGGGUCCUGUAAAAUGUUUCCUUUAUACCCACCCCGUGAUACUGGGAGCCUCCAUACGCUUCCAUUUUUCAAAACUUUAGAAGCUCAGGUAGUCUGGGCACUUAUGGUGGAGGGCCAUACAGGAGCACAGGAUGGAUGAUACAGAUGAGUUAUUGUGUGAGACUGAGUUCUUUUUUUCUUGAGUACCAAAUGUACAUUGUUUUGCAUAAAAACUCAUCACCCAUUUUGCUGUUCACUAACGUAAUAUUUAGAGGUCCUCCUGUAGAAUUUUAAAAUUUGCUUCAUUGAUUCUUCCAGAUGAUUUUGUGCUGUCAGAGGUUGCUGUCAUAUUGCUAUUGAUUCUUAUCUUUAAAUUCUUUCUGUGUAGAAUGACUGACAGUAAUCUGUCUUGCUGACAGCUUUCUCCUACAAUGAAAAAUGACUUUCUUCCCUACUUGUAAGUCCCAUUUGCCAAUACUUUGGACAUAAAAUAGAGGAUGACAUGAAGCAAAAUUAUCUAGCUUUUGUUUAUGUGGAUAUGUGUGUUUAUCUACAUACAUAUGCAUAUAUGUGUGCAUAUAUGCAUAUCUAUUUUAAUGGGAAGUGUCUUAAUUUUCUUGGUUUGCAAUUUUAUGCUAUGAUGCUAUUUGAAAGGGUGAAUACCAGUAGGUCUACUAUAAACUCUUAUGUAUCCAUGUUAAUGCUAAUAACAUAUAAAAAUAAAGACAGUAUAACUUAAUCUGGCUGUGAAAAUAUGUACUUCUUUUUAACCAGCACUGCAGUGCAAAGAUAUAGUUUAUCUUUGUUCAUGGAUUUUGUGUGAUGUUUGGCAGGAGGGGUUGCAUCCUUUUGCCAAUGUUUUUUUUCUUUUAUUGUCUUUAGAAAAUUUACAUUGUUUGUGAAUUAUUUUCAGCACAGUCCUAAACCCAGGAACCAGCUGAUCUUUCUCUUACAAGUCUGUGGUAUGUUUUGAAAAGGCUGUCUAACUGAGGUUAUAUGUUGCAAAAACAUCAUCACUUUUAUAUGAAACAAGAAGACAAGUAAAAACGGAGCAGGACAAUCAUUUGACUGACUUAGCUGCUUACUAUCAUUUUAUGCAGAAGUACAAGCUCUCAGAUGUUGUUUUUUCUACCCCCUUUUCUCACUAGAAGAAAUUUAGUUUGGAAUAGGAAAAGCAGAAUAGGGAAAACUGUCCUUCUAUACAUGACUUCCAGUCUUAAGUUACUAACCAAAAUAAAGCAUCCCUGCAUAGCUUAGAUCUUCUAUUCAUGUAUUGUAAUUUUACCAUCUCAUAGUCAUGUUAUUUGUAACCUAGCCUUUAGAAAUUAUUUUCUUUUAAUGAAAAGAAAGGAUGCAUUCAAAACAGAUGUUAUAAAAUGCUAUGUUAAUAUUUCCUAUAGAUUUGCAACUAUUACCAUUUGACUAGAGUUCCAGCAUUUUUCUCAUAAAUACCAAUUUCAUACAAAAACAUUUAUCUGUGUUAUAGGACUGCGCAUUGCAAGUGGAAAGUGAUCCGAAUAACCAAAACACUGUUAGAUAUCUUCCACACGAGUGACUCAUUUAGCCAGCUGGCCCCACUGCAUUCAAGUCUGGGGACCCCAAUGCAAGAAAUAUAUGGAACCACUGGAGCAGGACCAGAAGGGAGCCACAAAGUUGAUCAGAGGGCUGGAGCACCUCUCCUAUGAAGAAAGCUUGAGAGAACUGGGCUCGUUUAGCUUGGAGAAGAGAAAGCUCUGGGGAGACCUCUUUGUUGCCUUCUAGUACUCAAGGGGAACACAAGUGGGAUCAGCUUCUUACAUAGGUGGGGAUAGGACAAGGAAGAAUAUCUGCAAACUAAAAGAGGGAAGACUAAAGUUGGAAUCUGGAUCUUUCUGACAUGCAGAGGCGGGGACUCAUCAUUUCUGCUACAGAAGACCACCAACAAAAUAGAAUUACUACAGGAUACAGGGUGAUGAUUCACUGGAUGCUCUCUCCCUUCUGAGUAAUGACUGAAGCAUAGCUGAUGCUGAGGAUGGAAAAGACAGCUUGUCAGAAAAAAAGAAAACAAAAAACAAAAAACUAUGGCUAUUUUUAGUGCUGUCCUUAUAUCUUGGUCAAAAUUUCCUCUUCCUGAGACUUUCUAAGCUGUGUUAUGACUUCAGUCUGCAUUGGUAGUGCUUUAGGUAGAAUUAGGGUGCUUUGCUGUACUACGGCUCAGCAUUUAUGUCAGUUACUGCCGAAAGUUUUAUGUUAAAGUUUGUUUUAACUAAAAUGAACUGACUUCUAAAAAUUUGCAGAUGUAUACACAUCCCUGUAGACAAUAAGCAAACUGUUGUAGGGAUUUCCCUCAGUGCCUUUUCCUACUGUAUCCAGCCCUGGUACAUUAGUCAACCGAAAACUGGCUAUACCUGUUUAUGAUAUUUCCUGUGCCAUGCCUAAGAUACAAGAUUUUGAAAUUAUAUUUGGAAUAUUUUUGAAAUGUUGGAAUUUCAUGAGGUAAUUCCCCCCUCAUUUACUUUUUUCACAUUUCUUAAUGCAAUAAGGUAUUGGGAAAGUAAUGACAGAAAUGUCUAACAAAGGAAGAAUUAUUUCAUUCCUAUACUAAUAGGAAUCACCAUUCAGACAAGACAGCUUAUACUGAGGAUGUGUAAUGGUUCUUGUUCAGUUUUCCUAACAAAAAGAUGUGCUCAAUUUAAUGAGGUGCAUUUUUGUUAGAUGUAUUGUUAAGAUAUUAAAAUAAUAUUAAAAUAAUAUUAAAAAUCAGCCUUUCUGAUUUAUUUUCGAUUUUCUCCAUUUCCAUUCAAAUGUUUUUGUGGGUUGAUUUAUACAUAUUGUUCUCAGUUCUUAAGGUCCCCUAAGUAUGGUUCAUUAUCUUCAGAAAUUAAUGUGGAGGAAUUACUCAGCAUAUAUGGGUCUAUGCAAUUACUACCUGCUACUAAUGUGAACAUUUUGGAUACACUUUUUUUUUUUCACCUUUUCCUCUCGUUGGAGGAUUAGCUCUCAAGGGAGCUAUUUCCUAGCUAUUCACUAUUUAUUUAUUUACUUAUUUCCUGAACUCAUGUAAUUUCUGUUUGCAGUUUGUAAAAUUAAUCUUUUUUAAGUGUGCCUUUGUGUUUCCUAUACAGUUUUAAACUAAUCCAUGGAGCAAAUGGACAGUCCCAGGAGGGGAAAGAGAGUUAUGGUCAUCUAAGUAAAUUUAGUAUCUGAAGCUUUUUGCAAGAAGCAGAGUUACAGGAUUGUCAACAUAUGAAAAAGUGUUUAGUAGUCAGUGUACAACAUGGUUGUGUUCAUCAGCUGAGAAAAGUAAUGGCACCUAACAGUGAAACAACAUGGGAGUAGCACAGCCUUGGUGCUGAACUCAUGACGGAGGAAAACUCUGGGUCCUCUUCUCAUUAUUGUGUGUCCUGAAUUGACAUAAAACCACAAUCCUCUUGGGCUGGGGGCUGGGUAGAAGUAUGUUGGAGACAUAAAGAUUCUGUGAUCCUAUGAUGGGCUUUGGGACCAAUACUGACCUUGAAAAGGAAAUGUCUGCUGCCUAAGCAAAUGCAAUGAAUAACCCUGUCCUUGUUUGAAAGAGACAGCUGAGGGGACGACCUAGCUCUGGGCAUCUACAGUGCUGUUCUUCCCAGCUGUUUCAGAAUUCCCUCACUGCAGAGCAUUUGUGGAUGAUCAAGCCAAUUCAGAAUGAAGACUGAUGGAUUUUCCUAUGUUAAUUAAAACUCAUUUAAUACUGCCAAGGACUACAGAUGAAGCUGCCAGACAUCUCCCUUCUCAGCAUAUGAACAUAUCUGUAAUGUGUGGCCUCACCCUGAUGUUGUGCAUCUCAGAGUGCAAGAGGUCAGCUUUAAGGGCAGCUGAGAGAGGAAGCUGCCUUAGGCAGCUGCUUGUGAUGGAAGGCAAGAAGGAUGAAAAUAUGAAAUACUUAUCACUGCUAGCAGUGAAAAAAUCAACAAGAAGGAGAAACUGAUUUCUUUUUGUCUGACUUUUUUGCCUAUCUUUUACCCAGUUAAAACUGGGUAAUGAAGUCAAAGACAAAUGGUGAUAAAGUGAAGUGUAAAAAAUAAGCUAAGGGAGGUGUAGCUUCUGUAACAUUCUCAUUUCCUUCUCCAUCUCUUUCUCUCUGUUCUUCCCAUUAUCUGUCAUCAACUAUUUCCUGUAAGCAGCAUGUUCUUUUUGCUAAUUGUGCAGAAAUUCAUACUCUCAUCUAUUAGCACUUCAUGGUUCCUGUCUGUUACAGGGUAAAGUAUUGCCAACUCCAGACAUUCCAAAGAAAUUACAAAAGUGGAUUUUUCUUAAAAAGAGGAAGUUUGAACUUGCUAUGUAUGGGUAGUGAAUAUCAAGUUUUUGACGUCAGAAUGCAAUCUGGUUGUGUUUUCAAGUCUCCCUCCACAAUACUCUAGCCAUGUAUUUGUUUUUUAAGUAAAGAUUCUCCUGUUAUCUUUUGCUUCCAAAGGCAGAAGGGUUAUGAUUUUAACCAUAGAACAAAACUGACCUUCUCAUGAUGACAUAAUAACAGAAAAUAAAAUUUGUACAUUUUU